UGGGAUUAGAUACCCCACUAUGCCCAGCCCUAAACUUAGAUAGCAAAAUACCACCUAUCCGCCAGAGAACUACAAGCAAAAUACUUAAAACUCAAAGGACUUGGCGGCAUUCCAUAUCAACCUAGAGGAGCCCGUCCAAUAAUCGAUAAUACGCGCUCAACCCAACCAUUUUUGGCCACUCCAGCCUAUAUACCGCCGUCGUCAGCUAACCUUAUGAAAGAAAAGAAGUAAGCACAAUAGCCCUCGCUAAAACGUCAGGUCAAGGUGUAGCUAAUAAAAUGGAUGUGAUAGGCUACAUUUUCUAUUAUAGAAAAUAACGGAAAAUACAAUGAAACCUUGUAAUAGAAGGUGAAUUUAGAAGUAAAUUAAGAAAGUAUCCUUAUUUUAACCUCGCUCUGGAAUGCGCACACACCG
rnacentral:rRNA from 1 species